rnacentral:lncRNA from 1 species
AGUGCAGCAUAGACGCAGGUGGGGGGGGGAGCAGGGCGUCACCCAGCGCUGCCCCCCCCCGCGGAAAAUCCCUCCCCCGCCAGAGUUUCCACCCCGGCACAAGUUGCAUCGAGUCCGGGAAACCAGAGGCGGAGGCGUCGGGGGCACGGCUGCCCCGCGGGGCUCACGCCUGCCCCGGCCGGACGCCGUCGUCCCAGCGGGCCUCCGCCAGCCCCCAGCACGGGGGGCUGGGGCUGGGGUAGGUGCCGCGCGGCGGGGGGGCCGCGAAGGGGGGGCCCAGCGAGGAGCCCUCCAGUGACAUCUCCUGCAGGAACUGCUCGAAGUCGGCGCUCGGCGGCAGCUCCAUGCCGGGCGCCAUCCUGGGGGCGGAGGGGCGGCGUGAGCCGGGGUGGGGGCCCCCACCGCCCCCCGGCCCCCCGUGCUUACCACCUCGGGGAGCCCUGCGGCGGCGGCUCCAGCAGCGGCGGCGGCGGCAGGAACAGGCCCAUCUCGGGCAUCUCCUCGUCCUGCGGCUCCGGCGAGGGGCCGCCGGGCAGCAGCUGCGGGGGCUCCGCCGAGGAAGCCAACGUCACUAGGGCAACGUCGCGGGGAGCAAAACAACGCGGCGGCCGCGGCCCCCCGGCCCCCCGCCGCCCCCCCUCAGACCUGCGUCUCUGCUCAGGGCUGGCGAACCCGCGGCCCGGCGCGGAGGCCGGGCAUGCCCCAAUCUGCCGGGAGGCCGCGGGAGGCGCCGUGCUCCCCCGCUCCCAGCCGCCGCCGCCGCCGCUUCUCCGAUCCGGCCGGGCCCGAGUUCGCUUCCUCUCCCAGCUGGCGGCUCCCGCACGCAGCCUUUUCCUGCCCGCUGCUGCGGCACACGGCCUCUCCCUGCCAAGACGCAGCUCCGGCGACGACGCCCCGGCCGUGGCGAAACCGCGCGAGGUUUCCCGCAGCAGCGCCGGAGGCUCCCGGCGCCUUCGCAAUGUCAGCUGGCACGGAGCGGGCCACGUGGUGUUUGCUCGGCCAGCCUACCCGCGGCCACGCGCA